UGGGGAAUAUUGCACAAUGGGCGAAAGCCUGAUGCAGCAACGCCGCGCGAGGGACGACGGCCUUCGGGUUGUAAACCUCUUUUAGCAAGGAAGAAGCGAAAGUGACGGUACUUGCAGAAAAACGCGCCGGCUAACUACGUGCCAGCAGCCGCGGUAAUACGUAGGGCGCAAGCGUUAUCCGGAAUUAUUGGGCGUAAAGAGCUCGUAGGCGGUUUGUCGCGUCUGCUGUGAAAACCCGAGGCUCAACCUCGGGCCUGCAGUGGGUACGGGCAGACUAGAGUGCGGUAGGGGAGAUUGGAACUCCUGGUGUAGCGGUGGAAUGCGCAGAUAUCAGGAAGAACACCGAUGGCGAAGGCAGACCUCUGGGCCGUAACUGACGCUGGGGAGCG
rnacentral:rRNA from 1 species